UCUUUUUACAGGCCUAACCUUUUGUCGGUUUCGGCACACCUCAACCGACUCUUAUUUAUCAAAACUACACUCACUUUAAGUGUACGCCCCCUUCCAUAAUCCCGUACACAAAUAUAUAUAUGUUUUAAUUAUGGUAGCCCCCAAAAUAUUGGGAAAUAUAAAAAAAGACAACUCUGUUCCGCAGAGUAGCUGUUGACGUUAUAGUUGCGCAGGCACUUUGUUGUCUCUAGACAACCUCGGGACAAUCGCACAUCCCCGUGACGGCGACUUUGCAUUCAGAUGUCAUCCAUAUCAACUUUUGAUGCCAGUUUCUGCGCCUACCAUGGUGACCACGGGUAACUGGGAAUCAGGGUUCCAUUCCGUACAGGGACCCUGAGAAACAGCUACCUCAUGCAAGGAAGGCAGCAGGCGCGCAAAUGACCCACUACCGACGCGGGAAGGUAGUGACGACAAAUAACAAUACAGGACUCUUUAGAGGCCCUGUAAUUGUAAUGAGUACACUUGAAAUCCUUUAACUCUGAUCAAUUGGAGGGAAGUCUGGUGCAGAGCCACUGAGCCUUGCGUGCUGCAGCUGAAACUCCACUGUAGCGGAGCUGCAAUA